UUUCUUUAAAAGCGUGCCUAGUGUUAUAUACCUCGAGAAAUGUGCCCAAGAGAAAUGAAAGACAUGUGCACAAAUAAUUAUAGCAACUUUAUUUGUAAUAGCCAUAAAACUGGAAACAACUCAACGAAUGGUGAAUCAAUAACGUGUAGCACAUUCAUACAAUGAAAUACUACUCAGCAACAAAAGGAAAUGAGCUACUGAUACCCACAACAGCAUAGAUAAGUUUCAAAAUAAUUAUGCUGAGUGAAAGAAGCCAGACAACAACAAAGAGUAGAUACUGUAUGAUUCCAUUUAUAUGAAAUUCUAGGAAAUGCAAAGUAAUAUAUAAUGACAAAAGCAGAGGGGCGGGAAGGAGGAAUUUAAAAAGGGCAGAAGGAAACUUUUUGGGAUCAUGGAUAAGUUCGUCAUCUUGAUUGUGGUGAUGAUUUCACAGGUAUAUACAUACGUUGAAACUUCAAAUUGCACACUUUAAAUUUGCCCAGUUUAUUGUAUGUCAGUUAUAUCUCAAUAAAGCUGUAGAACAGCAACAACAAAGAGAUGGCUAGACAAGCAUAUUACAGUAGUUGAAGUUUGAUGUUAGAAAUUCACUGAAUCUUCUCUGAAGUCAUUGUCCUCUGACAGUUGUCUGCAGGUUUCAAGCUAUCCACCUACACAGAAUGUGCAAUCUGCUGGGCUUCAAAAGCACACAUUGAGGCAGAUGGCCAACAGCUGACAAUUCACUUAAUUUCUCUUUUUAAAUAGUUAUAUACUUGAAAAAGGAUCGAGUUUGAAUUAAAUCCUCACAGAAAAUUUCUAUCACAGCAUGGGAUUCACUUCAAUAAAGCAUCUUCCCACUGUCAUAAAUCUGCUUGUGUUCUUUUGGCAAAAUUUUCUUCCCACUCAACCUGGCUUUGUUAUCUUGUCAAGCCAGACAAAAAUUCACCUCCUGUAUAAAGCCAUCUCUGAUCAUCUGCCUUUUUAAAUUUUUUAAUUUUUUAAUUUUUCUUUUUUGAGAUGGAGUCUCACUCUGCCACCCAGGUUGGAGUGCAGUGGUGCAAUCUCGGCUCACUGCAACCUCCGCCUCCCUGGUUCAAGUGAUCCUCCUUCCUCAGCCUUCUGAGUAGCUGGGAUGACAGGCACACCACCACACCCAGCUAAUUCUUUGUAUUUUCAUUAGUGAUGGAGUUUUACAAUGUCGACCAGACUGAUCUCAAACUCCCGACCUCAAGUGAUCCACCGGCCUUGGCCUCCCAAAGUGCUGGGAUUAACAGGCAUGAGCCACCGUGACCGGCCUCAUCUGCCUUUUAGCACCAUAGAGAGGUGCCAUUAACCACCUGGUUUAUAUUGCCAGCAUGUAGGGGCUGUAAUAUGGUACCCCAGCCCCACCUCCCUACCCCAUCAUUAUUUUUUCUUAAAGAAAAUAAGCUUGCCACUUAGAAUUUAAACUUUACAAUUAAGAUAAACUGAUUUAGAGAAUAAAUGUAGACACUUGAAACAGUCACAAGGAUCCCCAAACCAGAUUAUAAUCUGACUGAAAAUAUUAGCAUAUCAGAGAUAGAAAAAGAGAUGUACCUAAGAAGGGAGGACAAUCAUCAGUGGACACUUACUGUCCAGGAAAAAAGAACCUAUGUGUACACCUUGAUGCUCUGAAGCUAUCAAAUUAUUUGAAAUUUAGAAUCCACUAAUUAAUUCCUCUUGCUCUAGAUUCAAGUUUCAAAAACAACCUUUUGGCUGUAAUUUGGCUCUCAAAUGUGGCACAUAUACCAAGAGAUAUUUUGCUGGGAUCAUAAAAGAGAGUCUAGUUCCCUAAGAUGUUAAAAUUCUCAUUAUAAAUUAGUAAUUUGUUAUUCUGGGUUUAUAUAGUAGUCCUGUGAUUUAUCAGUUUAAGAAGCAGACUUGGCUGGGUGCAGUGGCUCAUGCCUAUAGUCUCAGCACUUUGGGAGGGUGGGGUGGUAGGAUUGCUUGAAGCCAGGAGUUUGAGACCAGCCUAGGCAACAUAGCAAGACUCCAUCUCUACACAAAAUAAUUUUUUAAAAGUAGCCGGAAAUGGUGGUACACAACUGUGAUCUCAGCUACUUGGGAGGCCAAGGCAAGAGGAUCCCUUGAGCCCAGGAGUUGGAGACUGCAGGGAGCUAUGAUUGCACCACUUCACUCCAACCUAGGCAACACAGUGAGACUCCAUCUCUGAAAAAAAAAAAAAAAAAGAAAGAAAGAAAAAGAAAAGAAACAGACUUAACAAGUUAAAGACCAGAUUUCAACAUAUUUUCCAAGAUAAUGCCACUUUCUAUGGCCUGUUAGGGAAGUCAGCUUUCCUUGGAGAGAUAGAGAGAGAGAGAGAGAGAGAGAGAGAGAGAGAGAGAGAGC
rnacentral:lncRNA from 1 species